UCCCUUCAAAUCGCCAUCUUCCGGGGCUAUAUUCGCAAGUGCCGGUUCGCCGGCUAUGGUGAUAAACGCGCUCGUAAUAACCGGACUGGACCCGGGGGCAGUACCCGGCGGCUCCACCAAUUCUUCCCUGCAACCGCAGGGAGCCCGAUCUCAAACCGCCUCGGCCGAUGAGAUCUCUGUGGGGGCCGAAACAGGAUCGACAGACGGGUAAAGGGGAUUGCUUUCGCUCGGGUGAGGCCCGUUACAGGCUCGAUUUUAUAGUUGCUAAUGACAACUACGCUGAAGAGGUAGCUCUCGCUGCAUAAGCAGCGCGGGAAAUCUCGCUAAAACUCCUAUUCCCUUUAGCCGGAAUAGGCGGGGCUCGGAGGCGCCUGGCAACAGAAGCCUCCACU
rnacentral:tmRNA from 1 species